ACUGACAUUAAAGCCAUGAUGAGCAUUUCUUUCGUCAUUGUGCUCCUGGGAUAGUUUUUGAUAAGCUUGAGCUUUGAGAAUGUUCUCUCACAUGACGCAAUGGAAGUGGCCAGAGUUAGCGGUUUUCGGAGGAGGUUGCAAGGUUUGAGCACACGUAAUUACCAUAUGAAGCCUGUUGGUGUCUUGGUUCAAGAAGAAACCCAAAGGUAUCCAUUUUCUUUCCAGCCUUUGUAAUCUGCCCUUCAUCUCCAUAUGAAAUCUGUGCAGUACUUCUGUCGCAACACGUUUGAAUUGCAGUUCUAUUGGCAGUCCUAUAUUAGAACUCAACUUCCCAUCAAGUCUUUUCUUUCUUCUGGUUGUUUUGAUUACAGGGAAUCCAUAGUAUUCACUACCUUCUUUUGUUUUUUCGAGGGAUUGGGUUUUUGUAAGUUUCUCACCAUUUUGCAGAAAGCAUGAAGGGUACUAAUUUCUUCAGCAGCUUCCCGUAUGUGCAGUCCAGACUUUUGUAGUUUCUUCUGAACUAUAUUAGGAGCUUUGACCAGAAUUCCAGAUAGGCAAGAAAUUCUUAAUCUUCCACUGCAUGAAGAAGAUUCUGUGCUAAUAUUAUAUGAUAUUACAGUGGCGUAAAUAGGGUGUUUGAUGCCCAGUGCGGCCUCUCCUAAUGAUGCCCCCCCCCCCUCUGAUAUAAAACAGCGAAAACACGUUAUUAUACGUUAACAAAAUAUACUACAAAUAAAUAUUUCGAGCUUUCUUGGUCGCAAAACUAUCAAUAAUUUUAAUGAAAUCAUUUUUCCACCAAUUGACUUGUUAGUGAAACGCAUCGCUGAUUGCUAUUAAUUCUUGAUCAACUUAAUUAAGUCGGAAAAACUUCGCUCGCAUAAAGCCACACUUACCGCAAUUGUCAGAAAUAUGUUAAAAUCUGAUAAUGCUACCUGAAGAGAAUCUUGGACAUGAUUUUAUUUCUCUCAAAGCAUAAUCUGGCAUUCAAUAGGCAUCACGAAUAUUUAGACAAUAUUUAGAGCUGAAUCAUUUUGUGGCAUUCUAGCUGAUAUCUUUUUUUUUCGCUUGGCUUAUUUUUAUUGUAGUCAAUAUGUCUUUGAUAUUCUGCACUAAUCCUCAGAUCAGAGCACUUUUGCUGAUAGUAAUAAUGGCUUCGGCGUUGCCCUUCCAAUUAGAAAAUUAAGAAUGCAUAGCAACUAGCGAUCCGCCUACUUAAGAGAUUUUGUCUUUACAAUUGUUCUUCAACUCGUUUGUGAUGACCAUUGAGGGCCAGAUUCUGCUUUGAGAGAAAAGGAAUCCAAGAUUCAUUUCAUUAUCAGAAUUUUACCUUUAGGACCCUUUGAUCACUGCCGUCAACCAUUUUAAAUAGAGAAGACAAUUUCUCCAUCUAAGCUAGCACUAUAAGCGCCAGCCAGACUUAUCAACUUGAGCAGCGCCCAUAAUAUUAACAGUGGCAAAAUAAAUCAAUUUUGUAAAUCAAAUACAGUAGUUUGUUCAUGUGUGCGGUUUUUACUGAAAAAUGUUGUGCUCAGUUUGAUGCCCCGUGCGGCCCGCACCACACACACAUGGCUAGCUACACCACUGUGAUAUUACAUCAUUGUUGGUUGUUUAUGUUUCGUGCAAAAGCAUUCAAACCAUAAUUAGUAAAGAUUCAUUUCUCGCUAUGCCCGAGUAUAGAAAUACUCCGAUAAGCGGACUGCCGUAUUCACAAUCACAACUGCUGAUGAGUAGAAGACUCAGGAAAAUCAUUCCAACUGAUCCCAAACUAUUGAAACCAUCGGUAGCUGAAAAAGCGAGACAUUACUCAACGAACGAUAGAUUAAAAGCAAAGUGAAAUACGAUGCAAAAGCAAGACUACCUAAAGAUUACUCGCUUUUUGAACAAGAGUUUCGAUGAAGACAUCUCUGGGUACUAUGAUAACGAUGAAGACAAUGAACAGCAAACUGUUGGAACAAACGAAACAGACAGUUAUAGACCAACGUCUAGAAAACUUGUGCCAGUCAAGUCAACCAAAAGUGGUCGAAUUGUUAAAAUUCCUAGUAGAACUUUAAAAGGAAGGAUGUGCUAUAGACUAUAUAUAUAUAUAAUAUACAGGACUGCCAACUGUGCGCACCACGCCUAUAUUUUUCAAUUAAAUAAGUCCCGUACACCGAGGCGUCCUUUGUUGCAGCCCAGUUGCAGGGUAGUGUUAGUAGAAUGACUUCCGGUGAAUUAGUUUACAAUAUAAAGAAGCCAUCACUAAAUAUUUUAAUCACCACUUUUACACCAAAUGAUGAAUGGAAACUCAAUUGUCAUCGAAGAUUUUUCAGAGUGUUUCAGAUAAUGAAUUUUGAUAAUUUUGUUGUCAAAAUGUUUCAUCUAUGAUAGGAGCUAGGUAAGUUUUUUUUAUAUUAUUAAACUAAUAGUUUUUAAAAAAUAUUAAUCAGAAUAAUGUUUUGGUGACCCCAAAUUUGGUACACAUGCACAAAUAAGAUUACCAGACACUGAUAACACAAGAACACUUUUGUUUCCUUGGCAAUUAAAUCAUUGAAUACAAAGUAACUUCACAUGUAAUAUUUAGUUUUCUAUUGUUAUAUUUAGUUAAUGUAAACAUUUCAACAUUGAUAAAAAGAUAUAUUAUUAAACAAGAUUGCAAUUAGGCUUUAACACUAUUCUGCAUUUUCUUUCCAUGGUCCUUGCCAAUAUAUUGAAACUCCAUGAGUUGAGUAGAUCUGAUGGAAAGUUUUUUAACCCAGCUCAGCCUAAAGCCAAAAACAAAAAACAGUAUAUCCUGAACUACUGUUUGCUGCUGCUGCACUCACCUCCAUUUAUAAGCAGGAUUUCAAAGGUUUGUGAAUUGUUUGGCAACUGCAUUGUCAAGAACUCAGCCUUACAAUUAGUCUCACCAAAACUAAAUUUCUAUCACAGAAAUACAAGAGUUAAGCAUUAAAAAUCACACCCUUACAGUGCUGCAAGAAUUUACCUACAUGGGAUCAAUUUUUGUUAGAAAACAAAAAUAUAGACAACAAAGUAACAAAACGGAUUGAAAAGGCCUCUGCAGCCAUAAUGAAACUCUCUAAAGUCAAAAUAUAUCAAAUUGACCAGGCAAUCAAAAUUCUAGUCUACAAUGCCUGUGCAUUAAACAAUAUAGAAGUGAAAUAAUGUCUCCAAACUGUUUUAAGUAGGAAACUUUGAAAUAGGCCAAUACACAAGUGAAGACUAUGUUGGCUUGGACAUGUCACCCGUUAGUUUGGGACUUGGACAUGUCACCCACAUGCCAGACAAAAACCAGACACAAGAAGGACAUCCAAGACUAACCUAAGGAGAUGUCCGCAAGAAGAAUCUUUAGACUACAGUUAUCAGACAAUGAAAGGCAUGGAGACAGUUUGCCUUCUGGAACGACCUUUGCAGAAAGCAAAAGAGCUGUGGUGGCCAUAGACGAGAAAGAGGAAGACAGCUUCUCAAUUCAUCAAGGUGCAUCCAUAGUCUUUUGAGACACAAGUAGCUUUAUAAUCUGUUACAAUUACACCUAAGUAUUUAGAAUGCAGUUGUACAGAUGUUCUUGUUUUUUUUUGUUUUUUUUUUUUCAAACUAGUUAUUCCAUAACAAUUCAAACAUUCACUUAUCUAAUAUAUAAAGCAAAUUGUAAGGAGCAUGUAUGCAUGUCCCAAAUAAAAAUCAAAACCGUUUGACCAAUCUUGGCAUUUACUUCGCAUAAAUGAUCCUUAGAUCAUGGCGGGGACCGUAGUGUAUGUUUAAUGUCUCUCCCACAACCUGAGGGCGAAGCAGGAAAUUUUGGUGCAGCUGUUUUGGUGUGACUGUUAAUAUCAUGGUCCCAAGUAAAGAUCCGACCUUUCAUACUUUCUAUGUUUCAUGCUUUAAAUGUUCCCUCAGAAUUAAGGAUUAUAACAUUCUAAUACAAACCUGCCACAGGAUGGUUGAGGAUUGCGGCGAGAAGGGUUUGAACCCGGAACUUUCAAGAUCAUGCAUCUAGAGACAAUACCUUAUGACCAGGAAGCCAUCCAUAGUUCACAAUAUGUCAAUCAAUCAAUCUGACUAACCAUUUAAUGGUGAUGUUUUUGUUUCACAUCAUUUUCUUUGUCUUGUGCAUGUUUGUUUAUUAAGAGGCCCAUUUUUAUUUUAAAAGUAAGAACAAGGUCACAAAGACAGUUUGUGUGGAAACACAAACUCAAAAUCAGCCCCCGAAAUGGUCCACCCAGGCAGGUAAAUAGGCCGGUAUCAAUAUUUUCAGAAAGAAUAUCAGAAUUAAAUUCUAUUGAAGACAAAUGACAGAGAAGAAUGGAGAAAGAAGGUUGACAGAUCUUGUGUGGUGCCCCAGUGGUCCAGCAGCCAAAGGAUAGGUGUAAGUGAAUAUGAAAUUAAAUGCGAACCUUGCCUAACUGAUGACUUAUAAUGAAUAUCUAAUUGAUCUAAUUGUUUUGGGUCAAUCUCUUAAUCAAAUCCUCAAAAAAAGAAACAAAUACACUAAAUUUCGACCUACCUAAUCUAAUCUAUAUAUCUAGAUCAAAUUCUUCAUUAUUACUAUUUAUUUGUGAUAAAUUUUAGAAUAAUUAUAAAGUUUCUUCAGUAAUAAACAUUGUGGGUGUCUUGUGUCUAGCAUAGUCAUGGCAACGUUUUUUUUACAUUGUAAAAAAAAAAAAAGGAAAAAAUAAAUGUCUUAAAUAAAGCUUCUAAUUUCUAUGCAAACAAACUUUUAUAACUCUUUUAUAAAGUAAAAAUAGUUCCACUGUUGUUAGUUAAAAAUUUUUAUUUAAAAAUGCAACGAAACAAAGGUAGGGUAAGAACGUCUAUGGGAUAGAUGUUCCGUGUGUUUAGGGGCAGACAGACCGUCUAUGAGAUAGACGCUCCGCACUGAAUGAGUUAAAUUAUAGUCAGAAUAUCUCGUGCCAAAAUGACCCUUGCGCCAAAACGGUCAAACGUCACGUACCGACCUGAGGGCCCUAAAAUAAAAAAAAACCCACCUAAAUUUAUCUCUUUAAAUAACAAAACUUUUUAACAAAUCAGGUAAACCUAUUUUCAAACUCUACUUUUGUUUUAGUUGCAAAAAAAAAAAAAAAAAAAAAUGUGAAGGGAA